rnacentral:rRNA from 1 species
UUAGAGUUUGAUCCUGGCUCAGAUUGAACGCUGGCGGCAGGCCUAACACAUGCAAGUCGAGCGGAUGACAGGAGCUUGCUCCUGAAUUCAGCGGCGGACGGGUGAGUAAUGCCUAGGAAUCUGCCUGGUAGUGGGGGACAACGUUUCGAAAGGAACGCUAAUACCGCAUACGUCCUACGGGAGAAAGCAGGGGACCUUCGGGCCUUGCGCUAUCAGAUGAGCCUAGGUCGGAUUAGCUAGUUGGUGAGGCAAUGGCUCACCAAGGCGACGAUCCGUAACUGGUCUGAGAGGAUGAUCAGUCACACUGGAACUGAGACACGGUCCAGACUCCUACGGGAGGCAGCAGUGGGGAAUAUUGGACAAUGGGCGAAAGCCUGAUCCAGCCAUGCCGCGUGUGUGAAGAAGGUCUUC